GAGGGUAUAGCUCAAGUGGUAGAGCGCAUGCUUAGCAUGCACAAGGCCCUGGGUUCAAUCCCCAGUACCUCCU
rnacentral:tRNA from 1 species